rnacentral:rRNA from 1 species
UGGGGAAUAUUGCACAAUGGGGGAAACCCUGAUGCAGCGACGCCGCGUGAACGAAGAAGGUAUUCGUAUCGUAAAGUUCUGUCCUAUGGGAAGAUAAUGACAGUACCAUAGAAGAAAGCUCCGGCUAAAUACGUGCCAGCAGCCGCGGUAAUACGUAUGGAGCGAGCGUUGUCCGGAAUUAUUGGGCGUAAAGGGUACGCAGGCGGAUUAAUAAGUCGAAUGUUAAAGAUCGGGGCUCAACCCCGUAAAGCAUUGGAAACUGAUAAACUUGAGUAGUGGAGAGGAAAGUGGAAUUCCUAGUGUAGUGGUGAAAUACGUAGAUAUUAGGAGGAAUACCAGUAGCGAAGGCGACUUUCUGGACACAAACUGACGCUGAGGUACGAAAGCGUGGGGAGCAAACAGG